rnacentral:piRNA from 1 species
UACAGUAGGAUAAAAUGAUGUAACCAGCCAC